GCGUGUGCAGGCCCAGCUGUGCGUUCCUGUUUCCGCACUUUCGUCCCUGGUUGAUAGUUGGUGCUGGGUCCUUGAUUGUCCUCCUGUAGAGUGGAUUUGGGGGGAUGGAGACUCCGCGCCUCACGGGAACUUCUGGAUCGUUUGUCUGGCCCCACCUGCAGCCGGACCGGAGGAAAGCCCCCGCGGCGGCCGUGGUAGGGAGCGUGGUGCUUGUUUGUUCAUAAUGCGGAUGGUGAGCGUGCCAGAAAGCGCAGGCGGUGGGUCUGUGGUGGAGCCCGAGCUCUGGAGCCAGAAAGACCCAGGCAUGAAUGUCAUUCAAGGACGUGACUGUGGAUUUAACCCAGGAGUGGAAACACCUGGGCCCUGCUCAGAGUAUCCUGUACAGAGAUGUGAUACUGGAGAACUACAGCCACCUCCUCUCAGUGGAGUAUUGCUUUGGAAAACCAGAUGUGACCUUCAAUUUGGAAGAAGGAGAAGAUCCAUGGUUAUUAGAGGAAGAAUGUCUAAAUAGGAGCUACUCAGGUGAGUUACUGAGUACUAGAAGAAGGUAUCCAGGGAAAAGUAAAUCCAAAGUGAUCAGUAAUAGGUAGGAAUUUUAAUUUUAAUUUUAUUUAUUUAUUGGCCAUGCCGCAUGGCUUGUGAGAUCUUAGUUCCCCAACCAGGGAUCAAACCUGCACCCUUGGCAGUGAAAGCAUGGAGUCCUAACCCUGGACCACCAGGGAAUUCCCUAGGUGGGAAGUUUUAGAGGCCUGUGUCUUUGGUAGUUUACAAAGAAUAGAUCCAGUACAAUGUGGAAAAUGAAGGUAUAACAUAACGAAUGCAGUACUAGCAUACUGAUUUUCUGAUCUUUAAAGGCUGGGAGUCUAAGUGUAUCAUUUACAACUGACAAACCAAGUUAUAGGAUUUUUAUUUAAUUGUAAAAUGAUAAACACUAAGAAAUAAUAGAAAAGGCACUAAAAUUGGGCAUUAAAUGAUGGUUAAGGAGAGAGAAGAAACACUGAUUUCAUCAUUGGUUCUAUAAUAUGGAAUUACUAGUUACUGUCUAAGUAAGUAGAAGAUUAAAAACUACACAAGUUUAUAAUUAUAAAAGUACCUACUAGGGCAAAAACACAAUCUUCCUAAUUUUUAGAAGAAAAAUUAACAGAGCCAUGAAAACAGAACUAUUAACUAAAAAGACUUUUUUUUUUUUUUUUUGCGGUACGUGGGCCUCUCACUGUUGUGGCCUCUCCUGUUGCAGAGCACAGGCUCCGGACGUGCAGGCUCAGCGGCCAUGGCUCAUGGGCUCAGCCACUCCGCGGCAUGUGGGAUCUUCCCGGACCGGGGCACGAACCCGUGUCCCCUGCAUCGGCAAGCGGACUGUCAACCACUGUGCCACCAGGGAAGCCCUAAAAAGACUUUUUUAUAACAUAACUGAACAUGAACUAAAACAAAUAUAUCUGCCACUCAACUUACUUAAAGGAGUUAAGUUACCUAUUAAGUAACUGCUCUCAGAUUUUACCAGUUAUACCUAAAAAAUAAUGUAGAAAGUUUGAAAUAUAAAACAGUAAAUUUAAUAAGCCAAUAAAUGUACAAAUAAAUCAAGGUUCAUUUACCUGGCUGCUAAAGUUCGAACUUAGGCAAAAUAAUAUGAAAUCAGAAAAAGAGCACUUGAGUGAUGUUUUAUAAAGACCAUUUUAAAAGGGCAAUAAAUGUUUUGAUUAUCUGUGCAUGAAAUAAGUUAUCAGGAUCCAUAAAAGGACAAUUGUAAGAGGUAUAACAUAAAAGAUAAACAUAUUAGGUAUAGUAGAUCUUAAUAUACCUUUCUGGUUUUAUACCAGAUACAGUGGAGAACAAAUGAAGUUCUAGAACAAGGGUUGGCAAGCUAUAGUCCUUGAGCCAAAUGCAACCUGACACUUCUUUUUCUAAAUUAAAUUUUUUGGAACUCAGCCACGCUAGUUCUUUUACAUAUUGUCAGCACUGGCUUUAUACUACAGAGGUGUAGUUGACUAGUGACAAGGACCAUAUGGCUUGCAAAGCCUAAAAUAUUUAUUAUCUUGCCUUUUACCAAAAAGCGUUUGCCAGUCCAUACUCUAGAACAAUGGUAUUCAACAGAGGAUGAUUUUACCCACCAUAGGACAUUUAGCAAUGUGUAGAGACAUUUUUAGUUGUCACAACUAAGGGGAAGAUACUACUUUUAUCUCAUGGAGAGGCUGGGGAUGCUGCUAAACAUCCUGUAAUGCACAGGACAACCAUCACCACCCCCACCACACACGGGCACAACCAAGAAUUACCUUGUCCAAAAUGUUAAUAGUGACAAAUUUGAGAAAUUCUGGCCUAGAAUGCAUACAUAGCAUAUUUUAUAAAGUGAAUGUAAUACAUAUCUAGAUAUAUCUUUCAAACUGUGUCUUCUGGAAAUAAAGAAUAAACCAGUGCUGAUGGUAUGUGUCGAAAAUAUAAAAGUACAUUACAGCAACAAAAAACUUCAAUAAAUUCCUUGGAGUAGAAAUUUCACAAUGCAGUAAAACUAGAAAUUGCAAAUAAUAUGAGCAAAGCUAAAAUUCAGUAAUUAAAAAAACCUUUAAAAAUCUGUUUGUUCAGCUAAAUGAGGAAAAUUGUGGAGCAGGAAGCCCCAAGCUCAUUUCCCCACAGAAAUAUU
ensembl:lncRNA